rnacentral:tRNA from 1 species
AAUGAAGUGCCUGAAAAAGGAUUAUCUUGAUAGGAUAAACCAUGUAGGACAAGGCCUACCUUCAUUA